GCGGGAGUAGCUCAGUGGUAGAGCGUCACGUUGCCAACGUGAAUGUCGCGAGUUCAACCCUCGUCUCCCGCUCCA
rnacentral:tRNA from 2 species